UCUGAACAGGAGCAUCACCAGAAGUGAAUUCUCCUGCACUCGUCUCCUCUGACUCUCCCAACACGUGACUCAGCUGAAAGAUUCUGACAGCAGCAGCACAAGCCACUGGCAGUUCGGCAGAGCCAGGUGUUUGGAUUGAGUUGAUCCUGUCCCGUCUCCCCUCCCCAAGUCUCUGAAACCACAGAUCUCACUGGACGCCAGACAAACCCGAGUCUAAGCCUGGUGGGGAGCUCACACUGCCCACCUGGACACAGCACCAAGGAGUUGGCCUGUAGGAGCCACCCCAGGCCAGAGCGCUGAGGCCUGAAGGUUGGGGUGGGAUGUGCGGAGAGGGUGCGGAGGAGAGGCUAGAAUUCCAGAGACCAGAAUCCUGUGUGGAGACCAGCC
rnacentral:lncRNA from 1 species